rnacentral:rRNA from 1 species
GGUAAGGCAGGGCCGGCGGCCGAGUUAGUGUGUAGGUGUCAAGGGUUUGCCGGAAUUAUUGGGCGUAAAGCGCGGGCAGGCGGUUUCUUAAGUCUGAUGUGAAAGCCCACGGCUCAACCGUGGAGGGUCAUUGGAAACUGGGAAACUUGAGUGCAGAAGAGGAGAGUGGAAUUCCACGUGUAGCGGUGAAAUGCGUAGAGAUGUGGAGGAACACCAGUGGCGAAGGCGACUCUCUGGUCUGUAACUGACGCUGAGGCGCGAAAGCGUGGGUAGCGAACAGGAUUAGAUACCCGGGUAGUC